GAGAUCUUCGGAUCUAGUGGCGCACGGGUGAGUAACGCGUGGGAACCUACCUUUUAGUACGGGACAACGUUUGGAAACGAACGCUAAUACCGUAUACGCCCUCCGGGGGAAAGGCUUGCCGCUAAAAGAGGGGCCCGCGUCUGAUUAGCUUGUUGGUAAGGUAAUGGCUUACCAAGGCUUCGAUCAGUAGCUGGUCUGAGAGGAUGAUCAGCCACACUGGGACUGAGACACGGCCCAGACUCCUACGGGAGGCAGCAGUGGGGAAUAUUGGACAAUGGAGGCAACUCUGAUCCAGCAAUGCCGCGUGUGUGAUGAAGGCCUUAGGGUUGUAAAGCACUUUCAACGGUGAAGAUGAUGACGGUAGCCGUAGAAGAAGCCCCGGCUAACUUCGUGCCAGCAGCCGCGGUAAUACGAAGGGGGCGAGCGUUAUUCGGAAUUAUUGGGCGUAAAGGGCUCGCAGGCUGCUUGAACAGUUAGACGUGAAAUCCCCGGGCUCAACCUGGGAACUGCGUUUAAUACUAGCAAGCUAGAGUAAUAGAGAGGAAAG
rnacentral:rRNA from 1 species